GAUGAACGCUGGCGGCGUGCCUAAUACAUGCAAGUCGAGCGAACGGACGAGAAGCUUGCUUCUCUGAUGUUAGCGGCGGACGGGUGAGUAACACGUGGAUAACCUACCUAUAAGACUGGGAUAACUUCGGGAAACCGGAGCUAAUACCGGAUAAUAUUUUGAACCGCAUGGUUCAAAAGUGAAAGACGGUCUUGCUGUCACUUAUAGAUGGAUCCGCGCUGCAUUAGCUAGUUGGUAAGGUAACGGCUUACCAAGGCAACGAUGCAUAGCCGACCUGAGAGGGUGAUCGGCCACACUGGAACUGAGACACGGUCCAGACUCCUACGGGAGGCAGCAGUAGGGAAUCUUCCGCAAUGGGCGAAAGCCUGACGGAGCAACGCCGCGUGAGUGAUGAAGGUCUUCGGAUCGUAAAACUCUGUUAUUAGGGAAGAACAUAUGUGUAAGUAACUGUGCACAUCUUGACGGUACCUAAUCAGAAAGCCACGGCUAACUACGUGCCAGCAGCCGCGGUAAUACGUAGGUGGCAAGCGUUAUCCGGAAUUAUUGGGCGUAAAGCGCGCGUAGGCGGUUUUUUAAGUCUGAUGUGAAAGCCCACGGCUCAACCGUGGAGGGUCAUUGGAAACUGGAAAACUUGAGUGCAGAAGAGGAAAGUGGAAUUCCAUGUGUAGCGGUGAAAUGCGCAGAGAUAUGGAGGAACACCAGUGGCGAAGGCGACUUUCUGGUCUGUAACUGACGCUGAUGUGCGAAAGCGUGGGGAUCAAACAGGAUUAGGUACCCUGGUAGUCCACGCCGUAAACGAUGAGUGCUAAGUGUUAGGGGGUUUCCGCCCCUUAGUGCUGCAGCUAACGCAUUAAGCACUCCGCCUGGGGAGUACGACCGCAAGGUUGAAACUCAAAGGAAUUGACGGGGACCCGCACAAGCGGUGGAGCAUGUGGUUUAAUUCGAAGCAACGCGAAGAACCUUACCAAAUCUUUGACAUCCUUUGACAACUCUAGAGAUAGAGCCUUCCCCUUCGGGGGGGCAAAGUGACAGGUGGUGCAUGGUUGUCGUCAGCUCGUGUCGUGAGAUGUUGAGUUAAGUCCCGCAACGAGCGCAACCCUUAAGCUUAGUUGCCAUCAUUAAGUUGGGCACUCUAAGUUGACUGCCGGUGACAAACCGGAGGAAGGUGGGGAUGACGUCAAAUCAUCAUGCCCCUUAUGAUUUGGGCUACACACGUGCUACAAUGGACAAUGCAAAGGGCAGCGAAACCGCGAGGUCAAGCAAAUCCCAUAAAGUUGUUCUCAGUUCGGAUUGUAGUCUGCAACUCGACUACAUGAAGCUGGAAUCGCUAGUAAUCGUAGAUCAGCAUGCUACGGUGAAUACGUUCCCGGGUCU
rnacentral:rRNA from 1 species